CAAGUGCUAUUUUUAAGGUUUUUGCUAUUUUCCAAGAAAGGUAACUCUGUCGGCCUUAUUUGAUUUUAAUCUUAACUUUGUGUGAUUAUGUCCCCUUGACAACAUUGGCUAUUUGCUCAACCAUAACGUUUCCCUCCUAAAGUUAGGGUCACUUGAGGUCAUUCUUUGUGUUAAAGAAGUUGUUGGUCAUUGUGACAUGCAGAUGUGUUGAUUUUAUAUUAUUAAUAAGGAUUUGGAUUGAGGAAUCGGUAUUUUUUACAGCAUAAUUAACCGCACAGUAAGACAGGUGUGAGUGACAGAGAUACAUGUAUAUUUACAGAGUCUGAUCCACAAUUGGACUUGGUAGAUGUGAUGUAGAUGUGAUGUAGAUGUGAUGUAGAUGUGAUGUAACUGUGAUGUGUAUGUUGUAUGAUGUAUGACAUAUGAUGUUUGAUGUUGAGAUGUACCGAAUUGGAAUUAUAUAUAAAGCUAGUGUCCACUACAAAUUAAAUUGAUGAACCAGUAACCCUCAGUUUGUUCUUUACUUAUACAAGGCAAAAAGACAUCGGGGUCACA